AGUCAUAUGCUUCGUUCAAGGGCUAACCCAUGCACGUCUCACCGCAAAUGGUGCAACAGUGAAUCUGUGAAUGGCUCCUUACAUUACCAGUCAUCUACGUGAUAAAGUGUGCCUGGUCAAAGGCAGUGAAUCCUUUGAACAUCCACCAAAACCUUGUGGCUAAUACACGCUUGAAGCAGUCACCCAUGCUCAACACUCGGGAAACUCCCAGAAUUCACCUCGGGUGGGUCCAGUCAACCGGGGGUGGCGGAUGAACGCCCAGCUGAUACAAAAACCAGCGGCCAAACAGGCCAGUGUGUUGUCAUGGUUGACUCAGGCUGGCCCUCUGUGGCCGCAGUGUUGGCAAAUUCUGUGGUGGCCUUCCCCUCUGGGGGUUGUGUCACCCCUGCUUGAUCGCAAAAGCUUCUGACCUAUCACCUUGACUGUGGUGUAUUGAACCACAGUGGCUUUGACGGGUAACGAAAAAUCAGGGUUCGAUUCCGGAAAGGCAGCCUGAGAGACGGCUACCACUACCAAGGUGGGCAGCAGGCACGCAAAUUGCCCCAUGCAAAGACAGUCUGUGAGGCA
rnacentral:rRNA from 1 species